rnacentral:rRNA from 1 species
AUUGAACGCUGGCGGCAGGCCUAACACAUGCAAGUCGAGCGAGCGGCGGACGGGUGAGUAAUGUAUGGGGACUGCCCGAUAGAGGGGGAUAACUACUGGAAACGGUAGCUAAUACCGCAUACUAUCGGAUAACCCAUAUGUGAUUAGCUAUUAGGUGAGGUAAUGGCUCACCUAGGCGACGAUCCCUAGCUGUUGUGAGAGGAUGAUCAGCCAACAGGGGACUGAGAAACGGCCCAGACUCCUAAGGAGGCAGCAGUGGGGAAUAUUGCACAAUGGGCGCAAGCCUGAUGAAGCCAUGCCGCGUGUAUGAAGAAGGCCCUAGGGUUGUAAAGUACUUUCAGUCGGGAGGCGUUACCGACAGAAGAAGCACCGGCUAACUCCGUGCCAGCAGCCGCGGUAAUAC